UACGUAGGGGGCAAGCGUUGUCCGGAUUUAUUGGGCGUAAAGGGCUCGUAGGCGGCCAACUAAGUCGGAUGUGAAAUCCCCAGGCUCAACCUGGGAACUGCAUCCGAUACUGGAUGGCUUGAAUUCGGGAGAGGGAUGCAGAAUUCCAGGUGUAGCGGUGAAAUGCGUAGAUAUCUGGAGGAAUACCGGUGGCGAAGGCGGCAUCCUGGACCGACAUUGACGCUGAGGAGCGAAAGCCAGGGGAGCAAACGGG
rnacentral:rRNA from 1 species